CAGCUGUCAAGAUGCCUUUCUUUUCAGGAAGUCUAAAGGCAAGAUGCUUUAAAGUCUUUAAGUCAGGAUUUCCUAUACGGGAAGAAGAAAAAUUGUUGAUACCACCGAGAGGCUCAACCACUUGCCUUUGGGCAUGUGCUUGGUGAACAUUCUCCACCAACCUUUACUUUGCCAGACUCCCCUUCAGUGUCAGACAGUACAAACGACCAUCAGGAACCACUGUGCAAGACUAAAGGCUGGAUGGCUCUCUAAUGGAUUUUGGCCCAAACAGAAGGAGAAGCACUUUUGAAACAAAAGUUUAGGAAAGGUCAGGGAAUGAUGGUGCUGGAAGAAAGGAGAAGAAAAAAGCUUUGGGGGCUGGAAAUCAAGCUAUUCGCAGAAAUGUCUGGCACAUAUCAAUGCAGCACUUUACAAUCAGGUGUCUUGGACAUACAACAGCAAUGAAGUUGUGUCUCCCAGUUGAAAAUGGAGGGAGUGCAGCACAAGGAAGUUACAUGGCUUGGGGGAGAGUGUGAAAGAGUGAGCCAUUGAUGGAGUAUCGUGGACAUGACGAAGGACAGUAAUGGACCCCGCAGGAUUUGGGGAGAGGAGUCAUGCAUGCACACAUGCCUCAAAACACUCCAUGUGCCGGCCUCUCCAUCAGUUCUGGGGACUCAUAAAGGUUCACAGUCCAGCUCGUGAGAAAGAUGUGGAAAUCGAGCUUCAAAGAGUCCCUGCCGGUUGAGGGACUGAUUCAUCAAGAAGGUGUUUCUUAAGACCCUGAGACUAAAAAGUGCCAUUACUAAGAUUUAAACACCUUACCAGAGAUGAACUGCUCCCUGAAUGCCCUGCGGACCUCCUGCUUGCCCAUCUCCACCCAGGUCACCUACCACUCACUGCUCUUGUGCAUAUCUGGUACCAUCUCCCCAAUCACACUGGAGCCUUCUGUUUUGAGUCACGUUACUACUACAGAGAAUGAAGGGCAGGGUGGGGGUAAAGCAGGAAGGGUGAGAUGCUUGCAUGUUUUGUUCAGGUCCUGUCAGUUAUUUUUAAAAAAUAAAACAAAGUUUUGCU